UGAACGCUGGCGGCGUGCCUAAUACAUGCAAGUCGAGCGACCAGACGAGGAGCUUGCUCCUCUGACGUUAGCGGCGGACGGGUGAGUAACACGUGGAUAACCUACCUAUAAGACUGGGAUAACUUCGGGAAACCGGAGCUAAUACCGGAUAAUAUAUUGAACCGCAUGGUUCAAUAGUGAAAGACGGUUUUGCUGUCACUUAUAGAUGGAUCCGCGCCGCAUUAGCUAGUUGGUAAGGUAACGGCUUACCAAGGCGACGAUGCGUAGCCGACCUGAGAGGGUGAUCGGCCACACUGGAACUGAGACACGGUCCAGACUCCUACGGGAGGCAGCAGUAGGGAAUCUUCCGCAAUGGGCGAAAGCCUGACGGAGCAACGCCGCGUGAGUGAUGAAGGUCUUCGGAUCGUAAAACUCUGUUAUUAGGGAAGAACAAAUGUGUAAGUAACUAUGCACGUCUUGACGGUACCUAAUCAGAAAGCCACGGCUAACUACGUG
rnacentral:rRNA from 1 species